rnacentral:rRNA from 1 species
GACAGAGGGUGCGAACGUUGCUCGGAAUUACUGGGCGUAAAGCGCGUGUAGGCGGGUGAUCAAGUCAGGUGUGAAAUCCCCAGGCUCAACCUGGGAACUGCACUUGAAACUGGUCGCCUUGAGUGUUGGAGAGGGAAGCGGAAUUCCUGGUGUAGAGGUGAAAUUCGUAGAUAUCAGGAGGAACACCGGUGGCGAAGGCGGCUUCCUGGACAAUUACUGACGCUGAGACGCGAAAGCGUGGGGAGCAAACGGG